UCUUAUGUACAUGCCUAUAACAUUAAUGCAACAUAUCCCAUUAGAACUAUGCAGUUAAGCACGCUUGGGCCUGAGUAGUACUGGGAUGGGUGUUGGGUAUGCGUUAUAU
rnacentral:rRNA from 1 species